AUUGAACGCUGGCGGCAGGCCUAACACAUGCAAGUCGAGCGGAUGACAGGAGCUUGCUCCUUGAUUCAGCGGCGGACGGGUGAGUAAUGCCUAGGAAUCUGCCUGGUAGUGGGGGACAACGUUUCGAAAGGAACGCUAAUACCGCAUACGUCCUACGGGAGAAAGCAGGGGACCUUCGGGCCUUGCGCUAUCAGAUGAGCCUAGGUCGGAUUAGCUAGUAGGUGAGGUAAUGGCUCACCUAGGCGACGAUCCGUAACUGGUCUGAGAGGAUGAUCAGUCACACUGGAACUGAGACACGGUCCAGAGUCCUACGGGAGGCAGCAGUGGGGAAUAUUGGACAAUGGGCGAAAGCCUGAUCCAGCCAUGCCGCGUGUGUGAAGAAGGUCUUCGGAUUGUAAAGCACUUUAAGUUGGGAGGAAGGGCAGUAAGUUAAUACCUUGCUGUUUUGACGUUACCGACAGAAUAAGCACCGGCUAACUCUGUGCCAGCAGCCGCAGUAAGAC
rnacentral:rRNA from 1 species